AUGGGGUCAUCCUGGCUGUCUGUCCCGGAGUCACUGACACUGAGGAUGGCUGCGUCAGCACAUAGGAGGCCACAGAGCCUGUGGGGAGAGAGAAGCAGAUGGGGGAGUAACAGUGAGAGCUCCUUCCCUCGGACACUCACCCCUGGGGUAGCUGGGAUGAGCCCAGGGCUGGGUGGGAGUGUGAGAGUCCUGGGUAUCACCUGUGCAGUGAGCAAGGAGGCCAAUGAAGAGCGUGGCCCAGGCCAUGGCAGAGGUGCUCGAAUGCUCCUUCCUGAGGCCAAGACUGGGUGGCUUCCUCCCAGGCCUCUCUUAUCCCCUUGCUGGAGAGAGCUGCCCGUUAUGCAAAUCAAUCCAUCUUAGGGCAAGUGCUGAAGAGAUUUCUGGUGUCCAGAGCAGGGCUCAGGCUCAAGUAAACAGAGAAGUAGGGGGGCCCUGCAGACUGCCCUCAGCCUGGGUGAUGCUCCUUCACAUGUGAGUGCAUAUACAGGUCCAAGACACCCACCCUGUACUGCGUCCUGGCAUUGCAGCUCAGCCUUCUGGUCAUGCAGAGGUGAAAACUGGAGGUGGUGUUUCCCAAGCUGCCUGAAGGCCUGCCUGUGGGUGGUUCUGUCCUGGUGCUAUGGACUGGAGACACACAUCCAACUUUGACCAAGUCCAGGACUUUCCUGUGUUUGAUCCUGGCUGGGAAGCAGGUGGGUUUGGCCUGAGUCAGUAGGGGAAUCCUGUGCAUAAAUGCUUUCUAGCACAAUCUAGAUGUCAGCUCAGUCCUAGCUUCUUUUUAGAGGUUCCAUCCCUGAUCAAACUGCAGAGACUCUCCUGAAACUACCUUAUGGGUGACAGCAAGAAGCAGACAGGAGCAGGAUAUUAUCCAGACCACACAGCUUCUCAGUGGAGAAACAACAGAGGUCUUAAAUGGAGGCAGGCAUAGGAAUGCUCACCUGUGAUCCCAGUACCCUCAGAGGAUGAGGCCCGAGUAUCACCAGUUCAAGCACAGCCAGGGAUGCUGCAAUUUACAGAGACUGUUUCCCCAAUAAAAUAUAAUUAAAAUAAAAUAUAAAAAACUAGUGUAUUUCUGCUCCUGGAUUCAAUUCACAGUACCGAAA
rnacentral:lncRNA from 1 species